AUGGCGGUUUGACACCAACUUUCAGGCAUAUAUCCACACAACACACGACUCCUCAAUGGAAACCAACAUCAUAUGUUUUUGUCAACCGUCAGACCCAGAUACGCUCCGCCGGAUAAUCCCACCGGCGGCGACAAUUCAUCCAUCUACGAGCUCCUACUGGACCGGUGCCGGAGCUUGGAAGCAAGUUAUGCUAACUUGCAAGAGCAGUUUCAGAUGCUGGAACUUGAGCAGACGUCAUCCGGUAAUCAUGGGAAGGUACAGCAAGAAGAAGUGGGUCCUAUACGGCCCGGUAUGACGUCAUUUUCCGGCUGGAAUAGUGUCCCGGAUGUUUUGCCGGUAGGGUUUUCGUAUAAGAGAGCAUUGGACCAGUUGGGUCAUGCAGUUUAUGUCAGCAAAGCUAUUAAUCGAGAGAUUAUUUACUGGAACCGUUCUGCUGAGAAACUGUUUGGGUAUCAGGAUUAUGAAGCACUUGGUCAAACAGUCUCUGACUUACUUAUAUAUGAUGAGUUUCAUGUAUCUUCAGAGAGGAUUUUGAGAAGAGUAAGGUCUGGUCAAAGCUGGGCUGGUCAAUUCCCUUUCAGAAAAAGGUCAGGUGUGACAUUCAUGGCUUUAGUCAACAAAAGCCCGUUAUAUGAAGAUGAUGAGCUUGUUGGCAUAGUCACAGUUGCAAGUGAUGCAACUAUUUUCAACAAAAUAAAGUCCGAAAACCCGAGGUCAUUCGAUGAGGAUCCUGCAAAUGUUCAAACCAAAAAAAGCGGUAAAAAAUUCAAGAAGAUUCAAUGGCAGCCACCACAACAGUUAUCUUCUUUUGUUUCAAAUCUGACGUCGACGGAUAUAUUGCGAAAAGGUGGCGGAAAUGAUGUGCAUGCGCAAAAUUCAUCCGUUGACAUGGACGGGGACAUUCUAGAAUCUGAAAAUGUGAACAUAGAGAAGCCUCCAAAAGCACCUCCUGUUAAGCGUGGUUUUGGCUAUAAUCUUUGGAAGAAAGCGACCGGAGGUGACAGUGAAGAGAACGGUUUUUCUGUGUCUUCGAAUUAUGCGGCAAAAGUGUUGUCAAAGUUGAAUAUUCAAAGAAGUGGUAACAUACAACCGGAGGGUCCUCCUAUUGAGAUCCCAGCGGCAGCUUACAUGCCGAAUUACCAACAAAGGUAUGCAAAGGGGAACAAACAAGCGCACCCUAAUAUUAUAGAAAAUGGUUAUUCAUUUGAGGCCCUUGAGGGAGAGCAAGAGGAGUGUGUUGAGGUAGCGAAUACAGUUGAUCGGUUGGCGAUUUCAACGUUCCAGUUUACACGAAAAGAAAUGGAGCUUGAGAAUGACAUUAACUCUGCGGUUGACUGUGAAAUUCGAUGGGAAGAUUUAAUUUUCAAGGAAGAGAUUGGCAACGGGUCAUUUGCUCGAGUAUACCGUGGACUUUGGAAUGGAUCGGAUGUGGCGGUUAAAGUUUAUUUUGGUAAUCAAUACAGUGAAAAGGCUUUGCAGGAGUACAAUAAAGAGAUUGAUAUCAUGAAAAGACUCCGUCAUCCGAACGUUUUGCUUUUUAUGGGGUCGGUCUGUUCACAAGAUAAACUUGCCAUUGUUACAGAGUUACUACCCAGGGGAAGCCUUUAUAAUGUUCUUCACAACUGUGGUCAAUCUUUGGAUAUUAGGCGACGUCUAAAAAUGGCUGCGGAUGUUGCAAGAGGUAUGAACUACUUGCACCACAGAAACCCGCCAAUUGUACACAGAGAUCUCAAAUCUUCAAAUCUUCUUGUAGACAAGAACUGGUCGGUUAAGGUUGGGGAUUUCGGUCUUUCAAAAUUGAAGCAUGCAACCUUUUUAUCUGCUAGAUCCGGGGGAGGGACACCUCAAUGGAUGGCACCUGAAGUUCUUCGUAAUGAGCCUUCAAACGAGAAGUCAGAUGUGUUUAGUUUUGGCAUAAUACUAUGGGAACUAGUCACACAAAGUGUCCCUUGGAGCCAGGGGCGGACUUAGUAUAGUCGUAGGCGUAGCCCGGGCUACGGCUCAACUUUUAAGCGGUAGUGUAAAAAAAAAAGAAUUUUUCCGAUUUUUAUACUAAGGAUACCCCUCAACCGCUACUAGGACACCCCUCAAAAAAAAAAAUUUAGAAACUGAUAUUAAGCCCAAAUUAAUUGCCAAUAUUAAUUCAUAAAGCCUAGCACAAAUGUGAUAUGCUCAAUAUUGAUUCGUUAAUCUAAAUACUAAUAACUUAAAGAGUAAAAUGCACGGAUAGUCCCCGUGGUUUUGCAAAAUAACAUCUAUAGUCCCCAACUUUUGGAAAUUACACCGGUGCUCCCUCUGGUUUGACAGUUUGUUACUCGGAUAGUCCCUGGAGUGGAUGAUGGUUAGUUUUCUCUGUUAAGUGGAUGUGAAAUGACAAAUUUACCCUUCAUCUUCUCCACUCUAUAAAACAAAACAAUCCCACCCACCCCCGCCUUUCUCUCCGUCUCCCCCCACCAUUAAUCACGUUCUUCCUUAUGUUAACAAGCUUCGUGAUUAUCAGAACAGAGGUCAAAACACUGUUUUCUUUGAUGGGCAGGUGAAAUUCUUGGAUUAUUCAUUCAUUAUUAUCGUUUUUUCGCAAACAAGCGAUUACAUAAAUGUUGCAGGACCGGCUAGCUAAGGUGGUCUCUUUUGUAUCAUCAUUGCUGGAUGACAUAAGCCUAUUCUAAUAAUAGCUUCUUCCAGUGCUCUUUCCUUGUGGGAAACCGAGUUUUCAAUGUGGUCAAAGACGAUCACUAUUGUAACAUACAAAGGGACCAAAGAUAUUGCCAUUAAAGAUUUAGAGUGUCAAGUCCUUUCAUCUUCUCCGGAUGCCAUCUUUGAGGUGGUAGGAGUUGUGGGUUUCAUGGACCGUCGAUUGGAUUUACCCGAAGACCUAGAUCCAUCUCUCUCAUCUAUCAUUCAAGAUUGUUGGCAAAG